rnacentral:misc_RNA from 1 species
UCUCCGUUGGUGAACCAGCGGAGGGAUCAUUACCGAGUUUACAACUCCCAAACCCCUUUGACCAUCCCAUUUGUUGCCUCGACUGUGCCUUCUUCGGCAGCACGCCAGAGGACCCAAACCCUUGAUUUUAUACAGUAUCUUCUGAGUAAAUGAUUAAAUAAAUCAAAACUUUCAACAACGGAUCUCUUGGCUCUC